UACGUAGGGACCAAGCGUUGUUCGGAUUUACUGGGCGUAAAGGGCGCGUAGGCGGCAUGACAAGUCACUUGUGAAAUCUCUGGGCUUAACCCAGAACGGCCAAGUGAUACUGUCACGCUAGAGUGCGGAAGGGGCAAUCGGAAUUCUUGGUGUAGCGGUGAAAUGCGUAGAUAUCAAGAGGAACACCUGAGGUGAAGACGGGUUGCUGGGCCGACACUGACGCUGACAGCGCGAAAGCCAGGGGAGCGAACGGG
rnacentral:rRNA from 1 species